ACUCUGCGUAUUUAACGAAUUCGCCCUUAGAGUUUGACCCUGGCUCAUGACGAACGCUGGCGGCGUGCCUAACACAUGCAAGUCGAGCGAUGAAAAUCGGAGCGUUCCCUUCGGGGAACAAUCCGAUUGGAUUAGCGGCGGACGGGUGAGUAACACGUGAGUAACCUGCCGUACACAUUGGGAUAGCCUCGGGAAACUGGGAUUAAUACCAAAUGAAACAUACAGAUAGCAUUAUCUAAAUGUCAAAGAUUUUAUCGGUGUACGAUGGACUCGCGUCUGAUUAGCUAGUUGGUAAGGUAAGAGCUUACCAAGGCGACGAUCAGUAUCUGGUUUGAGAGGACGAUCAGACACACUGGAACUGAGACACGGCCCAAACUCCUACGGGAGGCAGCAGUGGGGAAUAUUGCACAAUGGAGGGAACUCUGAUGCAGCGACGCCGCGUGAGCGAUGAAGGCUUUCGAGUCGUAAAGCUCUGUCGAAUGGGAAGAUAAUGACGGUACCAUUUGAGAAAGCCCCGGCUAACUACGUGCCAGCAGCCGCGGUAAUACGUAGGGGGCGAGCGUUGUCCGGAAUUAUUGGGCGUAAAGGGUUCGUAGGCGGCAAUGUAUGUCAGGUGUGAAAGACGGUGGCUCAACCAACGCAAGCAUCUGAAACUGCAUAGCUUGAGAAAAGGAGAGGUAAGUGGAAUUCCUAGUGUAGCGGUGAAAUGCGUAGAUAUUAGGAGGAAUACCAGUGGCGAAGGCGACUUACUGGACUUUAACUGACGCUGAUGAACGAAAGCGUGGGGAGCAAACAGGAUUAGAUACCCUGGUAGUCCACGCCGUAAACGAUGAGUGCUAGGUGUCGGGUGUCAAAGCUCGGUGCCGAAGUUAACACAUUAAGCACUCCGCCUGGGGAGUACGUGCGCAAGCAUGAAACUCAAAGGAAUUGACGGGGACCCGCACAAGCAGCGGAGCAUGUGGUUUAAUUCGAAGCAACGCGAAGAACCUUACCAGGACUUGACAUAUACGUGAAUACGUUAGAGAUAGCGUAGUCUUUUCGGAGACACGUAUACAGGUGGGGGCAUGGGUUGUCCUCAACUCCUGUCCUGAGAAGUUUGGGGUUAAAUCCCCCCACCGAGCGCCACCCCUUAUUCAUAAUUUGCCCCCCGGGGUAAUGCCCGG
rnacentral:rRNA from 1 species